UAACACACGUUUUUAACAAUCCAUUUCAAUCCAAUAAUCUCUUUCCAACAGCUCUUCUUGCCUACACCUCCACGAUCACCAUUCACGUCAAUCUCUCUUAUAACUACCUUCAUUCCAUCAUUUAUAUUUCUGCAAUGUUAUUCUUUCGCAUGCAAGAUUUAUUAGAAGAAAUCAGGUUUGUAUCUUCUUUCUUUCAAAUAUGAAAAUCUGAGAUAGAGAGAGCAAAAUAGAAUAUUUUAUGUAAGUAUACACCUCUACGUCCAACAGAAACAGGAGAGAAGAAAAGAAGACAAACUGGUUUUAACAAGAAUAAAACAUUAUUGGAUCAACAUACAAUCCAGUAAAAAAAAAGCCAAAACAAAAUGAAUGAGUUUUUUUCUACAACAAACGAAAGGACUAGAAUCAGGUGUCCAUAAUCUGAUAACAAGUGGUGUUUUAGAUCUUCUCUGAUUCCUUUUUUUUUUGUAACUGAUCUUAUCUGAUUAUUUUUCUUAUGCUUUUCUUUAAAAAUAUCUAUUUUAUUUUUGUAGUCUUUACUUGAAGAAAUUCCAUCAGUCAAUACUCAAUACUAAAGAUGUGAUACAGCUUUCGAAAGAAGGAAAGACAUUAAAAACCAAACACUCUACCGGGGAAAAAGAGUAUUGAUGCAGCUGAGUUUUUACAAAUCUGUAAGUUAUGAUCUGAGUGUUUCAAAAAUCUUUUUAAAAAUUAUAAUAGAGCAUGUCUAUUAUAUACAAGUUGAAUAUUCUAAAUAUAUCGAGUCUCUUAUGUUUAGUUUCAUUUUUUAUUUUCCAUUAUAUUAGAAAUAAGGAGAUUUAUAUUUUCAAGAAGACUUAUUUACAAAAAAAAAAAUACAAAUAAAGCUGAAUAGAUCAAACUUAUUUUUAACUACAUUUAUUCAUGUUUGUAUAUAUCUUAACUUUCUAUGAAAAUUGCUUCUAAAUAUGUAUAUUAUCUCUCUGAAAAAUCAUAAUAAUUCUUAUAAGGCUUCAAACUCUUUGUCUGAAUGCAUCCACUUCUAAUUUUAGAUGCCGGUGUGUGUUACUAACAUAAUAUUUAAUUUUGAUGAAAACAAAAAUGAAAAACAACAUUGGAAUCAUACAAUAAAAAUAUCUUUUAAUUGUAAUCUUAAAAAAAAAGAUCAUUUAAGUGCAAGCAAAAAUUGAUCCUGUGCUAAGCACGGGAUAAUAAUACUAGUAAAGACUGAUUUACAAUAUUUAUUAACAUAUUAUUUGAACUAAAUUUUUUUAUAUAGAGAAUAGAAAACUUUUAUGUAAAACAUAAUGUAUAGAAACAUGACAAUACUUUAAAUUUUUUUAAUUAUAUUCAAAUUUUAUGCGUAUACACGAAAUAUGUUUCUAAAAAUCUAACAUUUUAUUUGAAAUCUGAAACAUUAACCGAAAACCGAAUCUGAAACACAAAAGAAUAAUCGUGAUACCGAAGAUAUAUUUGAAACAGAAAAAUAUAUUUAAUAUACACAAUACAUUUUAGAUACUCAGGGUACCGGUUCAGAUCUCUAUAGAAUCCAAACCUACACCGACACUGCCGGUCUAAAAUAUACCCAAUAGAUACUUUGCCGUAGACUUGGAUCUGAACCGAUUCGGAUCGGUUUUUAUUCGAACCAGAUAAAAUGUUUGGACUUAAGAGAGAGUUACAUAACAAUAUACAUACAAAAUUUUAAGUAAAUUAAUUCAUAAAUCAUAUAAUUUUAUAAAAUUCUAUGUUUUGAUAUUAAAAAAUUUAUUGUAAGAAAACCCGCGCUUUUGAAGCGCGGGUCAAGAUCUAGUUAUUAAUUAAAAGAUCAGCAGCCCCUUCUCAACAAAAAGUAGGACCCUGAGGUGGAAAAAAAAAAUUUGGCGCCCUUUUAAAGAAAAAAAAAACAAAAAUUAGAGCUUUUUUUUAAGAAUUUUUUUUAAAAAUAAUUUUGGACGCUAAUCUGGCCCAAAAUAUUUUAAAUGAUGUAAUGGGUUCUGUGCAAAUGCAUUCUGAACAAAUGCACAGAACCGGACAUGAAUAUCAGUGGCAUAAAUUUGUAAUAUUAGAGGUGAAGUGGGGGUUUUUUAUUUGUAUUUUAUUUUUAAUAAAUUUCAUUUUUAAUAGAUUAGAUAGAUAGAUAGACGGAAAAAAAGAAAAAAAAAUAUUUUUACAUUAAUAUUUUUGUCGGAACUGCUUCAGUUCAGUUAUCUGGUCUGUGAGAGCCCGGUCGAAUUCAAUUUCAUCAAUCCAGCAAAACCCGGAUUAAUCCAAGCAGUAUCUGUGGUCUAAUCGGUCAAAUCGUAACAUGUUUGCUAUCCGGUCUGCAUUGAAUAUAAACCGGAUAAAAUAACAUAAACCGGAUAAAAUUACAUAAACCGGUGCGAUGGUAAAUGAUACCAGAGAAAAAAAAAGGGGUUAGGUUCUCUCAUUUCACCAAACAGUCGAGCUACUUCUCUUUCAUCAAUCUCCGAAGAAGAGCUUAUCUGCCUUCUAAAAGGGAGGUUCUUCGGUUAUGGUUAAUGCCUUAGAUUUGCAGAGCUUUAUUCUUAGAGCUCGAGUGCUUAAACUUUACAGGCAAGCUUUGAAGAUAGCUCACAGAGCUCCUCCUCAGGCUAGAGGGGAAUUAAAACAGAGUAUUAGGCAAGAGAUGGAGAAGAACAGUGAGUGCAAUGACAAGCCAAAGAUCAGGUAUUUGAUUAGUGAAGGAUUAGAGAGGAUUAAACAACUUGAUGAGAUGUUGGACAUGCAAGGCCAUUGAAAGCAUAUGUUUUGUCUGAUAAAAGUAAAGUACAAAAGAAACAUGUGUUCUUGACAUAUAUUCAUUUGGUUUGAUGCUUAGUUAGGUUCAAUAUCUGAAAAAUCAAGUGUAACAAAUAUGUGUGAUAAUAACAAGAAUGAUGUACUUUUUACUUACCAAACACAUCCACUUGCUAAUAGGACACAGCUUGUUUGAGUCUAAUGUCAGAAUCAUGUUCUGCUCCACUUGUUAUAUAUAUAUUUUGCAACA